rnacentral:rRNA from 1 species
AUUGAACGCUGGCGGCAGGCCUAACACAUGCAAGUCGAACGAGUGGCGGACGGGUGAGUAAUGUAUGGGAAACUGCCCGAUGGAGGGGGAUAACUACUGGAAACGGUAGCUAAUACCGCAUACCAUCGGAUGUGCCCAGAUGGGAUUAGCUAGUAGGUGGGGUAACGGCUCACCUAGGCGACGAUCCCUAGCUGGUCUGAGAGGAUGACACGCCACACUGGAACUUAGAAUCGGUCCGGCAUCCUACGGGAGGCAGCAUUGGGGAAUAUUGCACAAUGGGCGAAAGCCUGAUGCAGCCAUGCCGCGUGUAUGAAGAAGGCCUUCGGGUUGUAAAGUACUUUCAGAGAGGAGUCGUUACUCGCAGAAGAAGCACCGGCUAACUCCGUGCCAGCCGCCGCGGUAAUUC